CGGGGCAUAGCGCAGCCAGGUAGCGCGUCGGCUUUGGGAGCCGGAUGUCGCAGGUUCGAAUCCUGCUGCCCCGACCA
rnacentral:tRNA from 2 species